UUGAAAUAAACCUGAUGAGUUGCUGCUGGUUCUCUAGGGAGCAUGUGCACACUUGUCAUCUUUAUAUCUCCACCUGUGAACCUUUUGUAGACCUGGAUAUCUCUCUGAAUUUGCCUGGCAGAUUCGGGUUUAAGGAUUGAUCUGUUCUUUCCUUGUGUUUUCAGUCUAUGUUUUUCAUAUACCCCAAUGUAUGUUUAUAGAAUGUAAUGAACAGGCCUUUGUGCCUAUAAACUUAUA
rnacentral:misc_RNA from 1 species